GAAUUCGCCCUUAGAGUUUGAUCCUGGCUCGGGACGAACGCUGGCGGCGUGCCUAACACAUGCAAGUCGAGCGGAGGUAUAUGAGGAGUAAUCUGAGUAUACCUGAGCGGCGGACGGGUGAGUAACGCGUGAGCAACCUGCCUUUUACAGGGGAAUAACGCACCGAAAGGUGCACUAAUACCGCAUAAGACCACAGCAUCGCAUGGUGCAGGGGUUAAAGGAGCAAUCCGGUAGAAGAUGGGCUCGCGUCCGAUUAGGUAGUUGGUGGGGUAACGGCCUACCAAGCCUGAGAUCGGUAGCCGACCUGAGAGGGUGAUCGGCCACACUGGAACUGAGAGACGGUCCAGACUCCUACGGGAGGCAGCAGUGGGGAAUAUUGGGCAAUGGGGGAAACCCUGACCCAGCAACGCCGCGUGAGGGAAGAAGGUUUUCGGAUUGUAAACCUCUGUUCUUGGAGAAGAGAGAAAGACGGUAUUCAAGGAGGAAGCCCCGGCUAACUACGUGCCAGCAGCCGCGGUAAUACGUAGGGGGCGAGCGUUGUCCGGAAUUAUUGGGCGUAAAGGGCGCGUAGGCGGCUUUACAAGUCAGUAGUGGAAGUCCCAUUUUCAAGGUGGGGAGGGCUAUUGAAACUGUAGGGCUUGAGUGCAGGGAGAGGUUAUCGGAAUUCCCCGGUGGUAGCGGUGGAAAUGCGUAGAGAUCGGGAGGAACACCAGCGGGCGAAGGCGGGUGAUGGAAGGUAACUGGAGAUGUGUCGGGAAAGUGUGGGGAGCAAACAGGAGUAGAUACCGAGGGUAGUUCACAGGUGUAAACGAUGAAUGUUAGGAGUGGGGGGUAUGGACUCGUUACGUGUGGCAGUAGAGUCGAUAAGCAUUCUGCUUGGGGAGGGGGUGAGCAUGAUGAAAAAUCCCAGGAAUGGGGCGGGGCUAGGGCUAGCAGCGGUGCAUGGGCUUUUAGUUGACGCGUUGUGUCGUGCGUUAUCACGUGUUUACGUGGAGUUCAGGAUAUAGAGAUAUGGGGAGCCUUAGGGCGCUCUGAGCCGGGGGGUGCAUGGGUGUAGUGAGUUAGUGUGGGGGGAAGCGGGGGAGAGUCCAGUAAGCAGCGCGCCUCUCCCUGAGAGUUGGUAGAGUCAGUAAUGGAGGUGUCUAUACGGGUUUCCGGGGUGGAAUGGGGGCAGGGAGGGGAAGGCGUUUAAUGUGCGUUCGCUCUAUGAUUUGGCACCCCCGGGUGUUCCAAUGGUGGAUACGGAGGGAAGUGAAGGAGGAAUUGGGAGCGGAUCCCAAUUUGGCGCCCGCAGUUGGGAUGGUGGGGUGCAACCCGCCCACAUGAAGCCGGAGUCGCUAGUAAUCGAGAAUCA
rnacentral:rRNA from 1 species